rnacentral:rRNA from 1 species
AUUGAACGCUGGCGGCAGGCCUAACACAUGCAAGUCGAGCGAGCGGCGGACGGGUGAGUAAUGUCUGGGGACUGCCCGAUAGAGGGGGAUAACUACUGGAAACGGUAGCUAAUACCGCAUACUAUCGGAUAACCCAUAUGGGAUUAGCUAGUAGGUGGGGUAACGGCUCACCUAGGCGACGAUCCCUAGCUGGUCUGAGAGUAGUAUCAGCCACACUGGAACGGAGACACGGCCCAGACGCCUACGGAGGCAGCAGUGGGGAAUAUUGCACAAUGGGCGCAAGCCUGAUGCAGCCAUGCCGCGUGUAUGAAGAAGGCCUUAGGGUUGUAAAGUACUUUCAGUCGGGAGGCGUUACCGACAGAAGAAGCACCGGCUAACUCCGUGCCAGCAGCCGCGGUAAUAC